rnacentral:rRNA from 1 species
CGUAAAGCGCAUGCAGGUGGUUUGUUAAGUCAGAUGUGAAAGACCCGGGGCGUCAACCUCGGAAUUGCAUUUGUAAACUAGGCAAACUAGAGUACUGUAGAGGGGGGUAGGAAUUUCAGGUGUAGCGGUGAAAUGCGUAGAGAUCUGAAGGAAUACCGGUGGCGAAGGCGGCCCCCUCGGACAGAUACUGACACUCAGAUGCGAAAGCGUGGGGAGCAAACAGGAUUAGAUACCCUGGUAG